rnacentral:misc_RNA from 1 species
ACACCAAGAUCACCAAUGGCAGCCACUAAACCAGCUUUUCAAGCCUUGCCAACCAAUUAGAAAUUAGAGAUUUGCCUUUAGAGAGGUUGUAGAUGUGUAUAGGACACUAGAAACAAUUUCUAGCAAUUUUAAUUCAAGAGAAUAUUGGCAAUUCUCUUUGAAUUGAUGAGAGAAGAAGAAGAGAGGAGUGCACUAUAGGUGGCGGCACCUUUGGGAUAAACCAAUUAUUCUUUUUGCUCUAUCUCUAUAGAUGCGAAUCCCAAGAAUAUAGGUUGCCUCCCCUAAGUCUUUCAUGGAGAAUGUAUUUGGCAACCAUACCUUUAUAGUUGUCAACAUACCUGCGUCAUUACCCAUCAAUAAAAUGUCAUCCACAUAUAAGAUAAGGAAAGUGAUAGCACUAUCACUAACCUUCUUAUAUACACAUGGCUCAUCCUCAUUUUUUAUAAAACCAAAUGACUUAAUGGCUUAUCAAAACGGAUGUUCCAACUCCUCGAAGCUUGUUUCAACCCAUAAAUGGAUCACUUUAGCUUGCAUACCUUGGAAGCAUCUUGGGAUUCAAAACCCCUAGGUUGUUCCAUGAAAAUGUUUUUUUCAAUGUUUCCAUUGAGAAAAGCUGUUUUGACAUCCAUCUGCCAAUUCUCAUAAUCAUAGUAUGCAGCUAUUGCUAAUAGAAUCCUAAUUGAUUUAAGCAUGGCAAUAGGCGAGAAAGUCUUCUCAUAGUCGAUUCCUUAUCUUUGGCGAAACCCUUUCGCUACUAGCCUUGCUUUUUAGGUCUCUACCUUUCCAUCAGAACCAAUUUUCUUCUUAAAAACCUAUUUAUUCCCUAUAGGUACAAUACCUUCAGGUGGGUCAACAAGAUCCCAAACUUGAUUCUCAUACAUGGAAUCAAUUUCGGAUUUCAUAGCAUCAAUCCAUUUUGAAGAGUCUAUAUCUGAUAUAGCUUCUUCAUAAGUGGAUCAUCUCCAUGAUCUACUUCUUAAUGAGUAAACAACUCUUGUUCUUCUUUAUGAAGAAAAUCAUAUCUCACUGGUGGGUGAGAUAUCCUGUUUGAUCUGCGAGGAAUUACUGUAGAUGUUUUAUCAAUAGGUGUAGAUUGACUAGAUGGAUCUAUAUCCAUUUGAUCUGUUGGUUGGUCAGAAUUCUCCAAUUCUAACUCUAUUUGCCUUCCUUUGCCUCCUUCUUGAACAAACUGUUAUUCAAGAAAUGUGGCAUCUCUACUUACCACAACCUUUUGUGAUGUAGGCAAAUAAAAAUAAUAUCCAAAACUCUCUUUUGGAUAUCCAACAAAUCGACCUUUUUCUGAUCUGAUUUCUAAUUUAUCAGUGCUCUGCUUUUUGAUAUAAGCUGGACAACCCCAAAUCUUAACAUGCUUAAGACUUGGUUUUCUUCCAUGCCAUAUCUCAUAAGGUGUGGAAAAUACUGAUUUUGAUGGAAUCUUAUUCAGAAUAUGUAAAGUUGAUUCUAAUGCAAAUCCCUAAAAGGAGACUGGCAUAUUAGUAUAGCUCAUCAUACUGCGUACCAUAUCUAAUAGGGUACGAUUUCUCCUUUCAGAUACACCAUUCAGCUAUGGCGUUCCUGGAGGAGUCAGCUGGGAAAUAAUGCCAUGCUCUUUCAAGUAGUCAUCAAAUUCAGUACUCAAGUAUUCAUCUCUACGAUCUGAUCGAAGAGCUUUAAUACUUUUUCUUGUUUGAUUUUCUACUACAGAUUUAAAUUCUUUAAACUUUUCAAAGGAUUAAUGUUUGUAUUUCAUCAAAUACAAAUACCCAAACCUUGAUUUAUCAUUAGUAAAGGUAAUAAAGUAAUGAAAAUCGCUUCUAGCCAUUACUUUAAAUGGACCACAUACAUCACUAUGUAUUAGCUCCAAAAUAUUUUCAGCUCUUAGCCCUUGUCCAACAAAGGGUGAUCUAGUCAUUUUGCCCUGAAGGCAAGAUUCACAAGUUGGAGUAGGCUCAGAGCCCAACGAGGAUGAAAUCCCCAUUUUCUCCAAUUUUGCAAUCCUAUCUUCUGCAACAUGA